UACGGAGGAUGCGAGCGUCAUCCGGAUUUAUUGGGUUUAAAGGGUGCGUAGGCGGGCUUUUAAGUCAGCGGUAAAAAUUCGGGGCUCAACCCCGUCCGGCCGUUGAAACUGGGGGCCUUGAGUGGGCGAGAAGAAGGCGGAAUGCGUGGUGUAGCGGUGAAAUGCAUAGAUAUCACGCAGAACCCCGAUUGCGAAGGCAGCCUUCCGGCGCCCUACUGACGCUGAGGCACGAAAGUGCGGGGAUCGAACAGG
rnacentral:rRNA from 1 species